rnacentral:rRNA from 1 species
UACGAGGGGUGCAAGCGUUGCUCGGAAUUAUUGGGCGUAAAGGGUAGGUAGGUGGUCUCAUUUGUCUGGGGUGAAAUCCUUGAGCUUAACUCAAGAAGUGCCCCAGAAACGGUGAGACUUGAGUACUGGAGAGGGUCGUGGAAUUCCCGGUGUAGCGGUGAAAUGCGUAGAGAUCGGGAGGAACACCAGCGGCGAAGGCGGCGACCUGGGCAGUAACUGACACUCAACUACGAAAGCGUGGGGAGCAAACAGG